GUCUGUGGCCACACCACCCUGAACACACCCGAUCUCAUCUGAUCUCACAAGCUAAGUAGGGUUGGGCCUAGUUAGUACUUGGAUGGGAGACCACCUGGCAAUAACAGGUGCUGUAGGCU
rnacentral:rRNA from 1 species